AUGAAGUGUAUGGGGGAACUC
rnacentral:miRNA from 1 species